UUUGUCAGUAGCAACAUUGUAGCCAAAUGAGGUUUAUCCGAAGUAUGAUUAUUGCUAAUAGAAAAUUUUUC
rnacentral:snRNA from 1 species